GACGAACCGUCCUAACGUUGUUCGGAAUCACUGGGCUUAAAGGGCGCGUAGGCGGGUUCCCAAGUCGGUGGUGAAAUCUUUCGGCCCAACCGGAAAACAGCCGCCGAUACUGGGAGUCUUGAGGGAGGUAGGGGUCGAUGGAACUUCCGGUGGAGCGGUGAAAUGCGUAGAUAUCGGAAGGAACGCCGGUGGCGAAAGCGAUCGACUGGACCUUUUCUGACGCUGAGGCGCGAAAGCCAGGGGAGCAGACGGG
rnacentral:rRNA from 1 species